ensembl:lncRNA
ACAGGGAAGAUACAGGUAACUAACACACUGUUACAGGGGAAGAUACAGGUAACUAACACACUGUUACACUGUUACAGGGAAGAUACAGGUAACUAACACACUGUUACAGGGAAGAUACAGGUAACUAACACACUGUUACAGGGAAGAUACAGGUAACUAACACACUGCUACACUGUUACAGGGAAGAUACAGGUAACUAACACACUGCUAUAGGGGAAGAUACAGGUAACUAACACACUGUUACAGGGAAGAUACAGGUAACUAACACACUGUUACAGGGAAGAUACAGGUAACUAACACACUGUUACACUGCUACAGGGGA